rnacentral:lncRNA from 1 species
AAAUAGUGACGAAAUUAUACUUUCAAUAGAGUGAAUAAUGCAUGAUAAAAAUGGUUUCAUGAGAAAAUAUGUAGAAGAAUAUAUACUACUAUAAGUUUGACAGGAACAACUAUUAAAGCACUGUCAUAUGCCUCAAAUUCCAAUAGUCUUUUUAAGUCAUCAACAAACAACAUUAAACCUAUUAUUAGAGUUAAACAUUCAUUCCAUACUUAAAUAAAACUCUCAAAGAGCAACAACACAACAGUAAUACUAGCAAAUCAUAAGAAACAAAAUGUGAAGAAUAAAAUAGAGCCACCGAGAAAAUAAAACCAUACAAACUCAAAGAACAAAAAGUUUAACCUCAAACUACAACAAAACGUAAAAAUAAAAGAUAGGCAUACCACCUUACAUGAAAGUAGUUGAUCGACAAAAAUGUUUAUUGGACGGAGAUUAAGAGGUUGUGAUUAGGUGAUGCAAGAUCUUGAUGAAGGUGGUGCAAACUCUGUGCGAGGAGAUGGAUGUUGUCGUUAUUGAACGAAUCGAAAAUGAGCGACAACGUUGAAUCUAACGAGAGAGUGAGGUUAUGUUGUUAUAUGGUGGUGUAAGUUCUGAGUUGAUGAAAAGUGGUAGUAUUAUUGAGAGAAAAACUAGAAGAAGUGUAGCAUGAAAAGAGCUUCACAUGUGAGGAAGCAAAACCAAACUUCUUCCAUUCACUUUUU